rnacentral:tRNA from 1 species
GACCGUGUAGCUUAGUUGCUAGAGCAUUGGACUAGUAUCACAAAGGUCGUGGGUUCAAUUCCCACCUUGGUCA